rnacentral:rRNA from 1 species
CACGAACCGUACGAACGUUAUUCGGAAUUACUGGGCUUAAAGGGUUUGUAGGCGGCCAUGUAAGUCGGGUGUGAAAUCCCUCGGCUCAACCGAGGAAUGGCGCCCGAUACUGCAUGGCUUGAGGGAGACAGGGGUAAGCGGAACUGAUGGUGGAGCGGUGAAAUGCGUUGAUAUCAUCAGGAACACCGGUGGCGAAAGCGGCUUACUGGGUCUCAUCUGACGCUGAGGAACGAAAGCUAGGGGAGCGAACGGG